UGCGAGGUGGCGGAAUUGGUAGACGCGCUAGCUUAGGUGUUAGUGUCUUAGGAUGUGGGGUUCGAGUCCCCCCCUCGCACC
rnacentral:tRNA from 1 species